GUAUGAGCAGGCUGCCACAUAUACUCAACAGGUAACUCCAUAGAAGAGUAAACCAAGGCCCCAAGGAGCCAGAUCACCAAAGAGAUGAUGAGCUGGUCCCAUGGAAGCUAGUGCAUGACCUUUCUGUUCAGGUAGUCACUCCACAAUAUCAGGAGAAAGCAAGGAAGACCCCCAGCAUGAUGGCUGAUCAUCACUGAUGAAAUCCAAAGAGAAAGUGACCAAGAAACCCACAGCACGAGUCUGCACGGCCCAUGCUGUCAUCUGUACCGUCAGAGGGUGCAUUCAUUUGAUACUCAUGUUAUGCUGGGAGACCUACUGAGAUAGAGGAACAUCCCUACUAUGGAGGAGCAGCCCCUGAUGGAGUUCCUGGGAGAGUGAGAGUCACACAUGGUGAAAAGGCUCGGAUGCAGCAUGACCACCAUUGAAGUGAGGGGCCAAACCAAUCGAGGCUUGGAAACGAUGGGGAUGGUUACCUCUUGGGAAAUGGCUGAACAAAUGAUGGAUGAAUGGAAUGGAAAAUCAUUGCGCCCAAAGAAAUAACGAAAGAGAAAGCUUCACAGAAAACUGCGGAGACACGUUGGAGGUAAUCCAGAGUGAGGUGAGCCCCACCAAGAGAACAGGUCACACAAGGAGGAAAGCACUUCAGAGAAAACCACCUUGGCAGCACCGCAAACGGCCCAGGGCAAGGAGCAGUUGUGAGGCUGACGCCGCAGCACCGGCGACUAGCAUCCGCGUGUCCGCCGUGCUCAC